GCGUCUUUAGCUCAGCUGGAUAGAGCAACUGCCUUCUAAGCAGUAGGUCGGGGGUUCGAGUCCCUUAAGACGCGCCA
rnacentral:tRNA from 2 species